CCAUGGAUGCAGGAACAUACAGUCUAAGUUAGUAAAGAGAAAUGGGAACCUCCAUGGUCCUGUCACCUUCUCCUGAAAGGUCAGAGGAAUGGUCCCUGAAUGUCCCCGAGGGAGCAGCUGAAGGAGGCAGCAGCAGCAAGGUGUGUCCUCCGUUCCUGCAGUGUCCCAGGCUGCUGCUGAAGGACCUGGCUCCAAGGUCUGAAAGCAGCUCUUCAAAAUGGCAAGUGAGGUGGUUUAUGCCGAGGUACCACCCAAGGAAAGAGCACAUUUCGCUUCAGAAACUUCAGAUGCAGGUGAUGCAAUCACAUACGCUGAGGUGAAGGUGAAAUGGAGAUCUGACAGACCUGACAGCACACCCGAAAUGACACAUUCAGUGACCUGCUUGGAGAAGUCGCACUGGUGUUUCGUUGUUUCUGCCCUGGUCUUCACUGCAGUGGUUCUGCUCAUCACUGUCAUCCUCCUGGCAGUGAAAUGUCCCAGCCUCUGAGGGGGAUGCUGACAUCCUGCUGACACACACGGGGUCUCAGAACUCUUCCUGGGUGUGAACCACUUUCUAAGACGAUCAUUUAAAAUGACCCAAAUAAAUAGUAGCUAAAUGUGGAAUGAAACCCUCUUUUUUGUAGGCAUGAAAUUCCACUUGCCCUCAGCAUUCCUUGCUAUUCUUUAAGUUUUAUGACCAGAGCAUGAACCAAGUGUUGAUUGCCUUAACACAUCACCACAACCUGCAUUAGGUAAUGAGCAUAAGCAGAAGCUGAGAGCAGAGUGUAGUGUACUUAAAUAUCCAUUUGUACAGAGACUGUAAGACUGGGAAGAGAUGUGGAAUUCUUACUUUAAUAUCAGCAUGCAUGAGUUAGUUGAAACAUUUGGAUUUGUAUUACAACUUUUUCUGUUGAACAUAAUAAUUAUUCUGAUCUUGUUCCAAGAGGCUUUACGAUUUCAGAUUUAUGACCUGAACAUGCUGCUUUUUAAAGCAAUUGAAACCUGGAGUCUUUUUCUUCUGCUGGUUUGGCAGUGCUCCAUGUGUCCCUGGGGGAGAACUUCAAUGCUAUGAAGCAGAGGGAAUGAUGGUUUCAACUAAAAUUACUACAGAGUGCUUGGACCCUGCUUGUUGAGUUCAGGAGUAGACACAGGUCUAGC